rnacentral:sRNA from 1 species
GGAACGGUAGUAAAAAAAAAAAGGAAUAAAAUAGGUAGAAGAAGAAAUAAAAGGAAGUAAAGAUUGCCCUAUCAUGUAAACAAAGUAAUCAGAUCAAUGAACUAAGAGAUAAAAACAUAAUUUUAAAAAUAUGCUAAACUAAGCAUGUUUGUAAAAUACAGGAGAGAGAGAGAGAGAGAGAGAGAGAGAGAGAGAGAGAGAGAGAGAGAGAGAGAGAGAGAGGAGAUGAAGAAGCACACAGGGUCUAACGGGAGAAAUAAAGAUUAAAUGCUGGGACAGAGUUUUCUGCAUCUCCUAAUACUGGAGGCUGACAGCCAAUGUACUGGGGAAGAGGGGUAUCACGUGACCUGCCUGACUCCCGCCUCUUCUAUGGUUUAGCCUGGUGUCCAGCGUAUUGGACAAGUAUCUGGUGACACCCUGAGUUGUCCUCUCGCAGAUAUCUUCCUGUAUUUGGGUAACAAGUUCCUCAUCUUUGCCGUCUGUGGGCAGGGCAGCUUCUGUCUUCCUCCCAGGGUUGUUCCGCACAGAGUGGGUGGCAUAGCUGGGCCCGUUCCCGUGCACACGCCUUGGGGAAUAUCGAGUAGAAAUCACAACACAACGCUCUGUUGCAGGCAGAGGAGCUAUAUUUGUACUGAGGAGAUGUGCUAACCUCCGCGCUGGAGGGAUGAGGCAGUGGAUGUCAAGGACUCAGCCAACACUUCUUCUAACAGCAGUGAGCCGCAGUGUUUUCUUAUUCCUGUUUGCACUGAACAGCCCGGCCUCCUGCAUUUUCCUACCAGGGAUUAUUGCCAGGCAGAGGAGAUCAUCAAAAGACAUGGCCAGUUUCCACCACAGAGCCAGGGCAAGCCAGAGACACCAGAAAGGAGGUGAAGCACAGGCCUGAACUAGGUCUGAUGGAAUGCUUACCUCAGAAGUAACCACCCAGGGUUCCUUUAUCCAACUGGUGCAGCUGGCUGAUUCAGUCUUCUCCCUCAAGAAACCGACCUACUGAAGAUAGCAGGGAAGCAUUGCAAGGAAAUUAUCAGGGUUUGAGAAAAGCUAUGGCCUUCCUGUGGGGACAGCGCACACAUGGAGAAAGGCAGCUGCCAGACAGACACGUGAAAAAAUGUUCAGACGCACACAUACUCCAAAGGAGAUGCUCAUGUGAACAAUGGGAUGCUUGUUUCAACUGAAAUUAACUGAGAGAAAAAGAGGAGCCUUGCACUGGCUCGGGGUGUGUUGAAAGAAGCCCUGUGUGGGGCUGGAAGGCACAGAAACAGCCGGUUAUGUGAAGCCUUGAGCAGACAGUGUGUGUCAGCAACUUUGCAUUUGCUCAUUCCCUUUGGCCCACGCGUUCCAAGCACCUCACCCAAAGAAAUAGCUAGUGAUGUAGAGAGCCGUGAAUGCUAACAUGGUGUUUACAGUGCUGUCCUUCGUAAUGCCGGAUAAGGUCAAUGUCUGACAGUAAUGACCAAAGGAAUUGCUCCUUCCUGCAGUUUAGUCACCUGCAGCCGCUACAACUUCAAUCUACAGAGUUUAUAAACCGGAAACACUGAUGUAGCCAUGUUUAGCAGCAUAAACAUUUGUAUCAAUUACAUGGAAAAAAAUGCAAAAAAAAAAAAAAAGCUUGAAGCUACUGUAUCAAUAUGUAACAGAGUUGUACAGUCUUGGGUUAUAGGCAUUUUUGCUUUUUUUUUUUUCAAAAAAAAUCUUUUUCUUAGUGUUCUUUUU